GACGAACCGUGCGAACGUUGUUCGGAAUCACUGGGCUUAAAGGGCGCGUAGGCGGGCCGGCAAGUCAGGGGUGAAAGCCCACGGCUCAACCGUGGAAGUGCCUUUGAUACUGCCGGUCUCGAGGGAGGUAGGGGAGUGCGGAACUUCCGGUGGAGCGGUGAAAUGCGUAGAUAUCGGAAGGAACACCGGUGGCGAAAGCGGCGCUCUGGAUCUCUACUGACGCUGAGGCGCGAAAGCCAGGGGAGCAAACGGG
rnacentral:rRNA from 1 species